rnacentral:rRNA from 1 species
CCGCGUGAGUGAUGAAGGUCUUCGGAUUGUAAAGCUCUGUCUUCUGGGACGAUAAUGACGGUACCAGAGGAGGAAGCCACGGCUAACUACGUGCCAGCAGCCGCGGUAAUACGUAGGUGGCAAGCGUUGUCCGGAUUUACUGGGCGUAAAGGAUGCGUAGGCGGAUAUUUAAGUGAGAUGUGAAAUCCCCGGGCUUAACUUGGGGGCUGCAUUUCAAACUGGAUGUCUAGAGUGCAGGAGAGGAAAGUGGAAUUCCUAGUGUAGCGGUGAAAUGCGUAGAGAUUAGGAAGAACACCAGUGGCGAAGGCGGCUUUCUGGACUGUAACUGACGCUGAGGCGCGAAAGCGUGGGGAGCAAACAGGAUUAGAUACCCUGGUAGUCAAAACA